rnacentral:rRNA from 1 species
AUUGAACGCUGGCGGCAGGCCUAACACAUGCAAGUCGAGCGGAUGAAGGGAGCUUGCUCCUGGAUUCAGCGGCGGACGGGUGAGUAAUGCCUAGGAAUCUGCCUGGUAGUGGGGGAUAACGUCCGGAAACGGGCGCUAAUACCGCAUACGUCCUGAGGGAGAAAGUGGGGGAUCUUCGGACCUCACGCUAUCAGAUGAGCCUAGGUCGGAUUAGCUAGUUGGUGGGGUAAAGGCCUACCAAGGCGACGAUCCGUAACUGGUCUGAGAGGAUGAUCAGUCACACUGGGACUGAGACACGGACCAGACUCCUACGGGAGGCAGCAGUGGGGAAUGUUGGACAAGGGGCGAAAGCCUGACCAAGCGAUGCCGCGUGAGUGAAGAAGGUCUUCGGAUUGUAAAGCGCUUUAGGUUGGGAGGAAGGGUAGUAAAUUAAUAACUUGCUGUGUUGACGUUACCAACAGAAAAAGCACCGGCUAACUUCGUG